rnacentral:rRNA from 1 species
AUGCACGCUGGCGGCGUGCCUCAUCCAUGCAAGUCGAGCGAACAGAUGAGGAGCUUGCUCCUCUGACGUUAGCGGCGGACGGGUGAGUAACACGUGGAUAACCUACCUAUAAGACUGGGAUAACUUCGGGAAACCGGAGCUAAUACCGGAUAAUAUAUUGAACCGCAUGGUUCAAUAGUGAAAGACGGUUUUGCUGUCACUUAUAGAUGGAUCCGCGCCGCAUUAGCUAGUUGGUAAGGUAACGGCUUACCAAGGCAACGAUGCGUAGCCGACCUGAGAGGGUGAUCGGCCACACUGGAACUGAGACACGGUCCAGACUCCUGCGGGAGGCAGCAGUAGGGAAUCUUCCGCAAUGGGCGAAAGCCUGACGGAGCAACGCCGUGUGAGUGAUGAAGGUCUUCGGAUCGUAAAACUCUGUUAUUAGGGAAGAACAAAUGUGUAAGUAACUAUGCACGUCUUGACGGUACCUAAUCAGAAAGCCACGGCUAACUACGUG